rnacentral:rRNA from 1 species
AUUGAACGCUGGCGGCAGGCCUAACACAUGCAAGUCGAGCGGCAGCGGGAAAGUAGCUUGCUACUUUUGCCGGCGAGCGGCGGACGGGUGAGUAAUGCCUGGGGAUCUGCCCAGUCGAGGGGGAUAACAGUUGGAAACGACUGCUAAUACCGCAUACGCCCUACGGGGGAAAGGAGGGGACCUUCGGGCCUUUCGCGAUUGGAUGAACCCAGGUGGGAUUAGCUAGUUGGUGGGGUAAUGGCUCACCAAGGCGACGAUCCCUAGCUGGUCUGAGAGGAUGAUCAGCCACACUGGAACUGAGACACGGUCCAGACUCCUACGGGAGGCAGCAGUGGGGAAUAUUGCACAAUGGGGGAAACCCUGAUGCAGCCAUGCCGCGUGUGUGAAGAAGGCCUUCGGGUUGUAAAGCACUUUCAGCGAGGAGGAAAGGUUGGCGCCUAAUAUCGUG